UUAGAGUUUGAUCCUGGCUCAGGAUGAACGCCCCUGGCAGGCUUAACACAUGCAAGUCGAGGGGCAGCGAGAGUGAUAGCAAUAUUACUUGUCGGCGACCGGCGCACGGGUGCGUAACGCGUAUGCAACCUACCAUCAACAGGGGGAUAACACUGAGAAAUCGGUACUAAUACCCCAUAAUAUCUCAUGCGGCAUCGCAUGGGGUUGAAAACUCCGGUGGUUGAUGAUGGGCAUGCGUUGUAUUAGCUGGUUGGUGAGGUAACGGCUCACCAAGGCGACGAUACAUAGGGGGACUGAGAGGUUAACCCCCCACAUUGGUACUGAGACACGGACCAAACUCCUACGGGAGGCAGCAGUGAGGAAUAUUGGUCAAUGGACGCAAGUCUGAACCAGCCAUGCCGCGUGCAGGAUGACGGCUCUAUGAGUUGUAAACUGCUUUUGUACGAGGGUAAACCCCGAUACGUGUAUCGGGUUGAAAGUAUCGUACGAAUAAGGAUCGGCUAACUCCGUGCCAGCAGCCGCGGUAAUACGGAGGAUCCGAGCGUUAUCCGGAUUUAUUGGGUUUAAAGGGUGCGUAGGCGGUUUGAUAAGUUAGAGGUGAAAUGUCGGGGCUCAACCCCGAAACUGCCUCUAAUACUGUUGGACUAGAGAAUAGUUGCGGUAGGCGGAAUGUAUGGUGUAGCGGUGAAAUGCUUAGAGAUCAUACAGAACACCGAUUGCGAAGGCAGCUUACCAAACUAUAUCUGACGUUGAGGCACGAAAGCGUGGGUAGCAAACAGGAUUAGAUACCCUGGUAGUCCACGCAGUAAACGAUGAUAACUCGUUGUCGGCGAUACACAGUCGGUGACUAAGCGAAAGCGAUAAGUUAUCCACCUGGGGAGUACGUUCGCAAGAAUGAAACUCAAAGGAAUUGACGGGGGCCCGCACAAGCGGAGGAACAUGUGGUUUAAUUCGAUGAUACGCGAGGAACCUUACCCGGGCUUGAAAGUUAGCGACGACGCUUGAAAGAGCGUUUCCCUUCGGGGCGCGAAACUAGGUGCUGCAUGGUUGUCGUCAGCUCGUGCCGUGAGGUGUCGGGUUAAGUCCCAUAACGAGCGCAACCCCUACUGUUAGUUGCCAUCAGGUGAUGCUGGGCACUCUAGCGGGACUGCCGGUGUAAGCCGAGAGGAAGGUGGGGAUGACGUCAAAUCAGCACGGCUCUUACGUCCGGGGCCACACACGUGUUACAAUGGUAGGUACAGAGGGCAGCUACCCUGCGAAGGGGUGCGAAUCUCGAAAGCCUAUCUCAGUUCGGAUUGGAGGCUGAAACCCGCCUCCAUGAAGUUGGAUUCGCUAGUAAUCGCGCAUCAGCCAUGGCGCGGUGAAUACGUUCCCGGGCCUUGCACUCACCGCCCGUCA
rnacentral:rRNA from 1 species